GGGUCCGUAGCUCAACAGGCAGAGCACCCGGCUGUUAACCGGGGGGUUGCAGGUUCGAGUCCUGCCGGGCCCG
rnacentral:tRNA from 1 species